GAAUUGCGAACGGGUGAGUAACGCGUAGGUAACCUGCCUUGUAGCGGGGGAUAACUAUUGGAAACGAUAGCUAAUACCGCAUAACGAUGGAUGACCCAUGUCAUUUAUUUGAAAGGGGCAAAUGCUCCACUACAGGAUGGACCUGCGUUGUAUUAACUAGUAGGUGAGGUAACGGCUCACCUAGGCGACGAUACAUAGCCGACCUGAGAGGGUGAUCGCCAACACUGGGAAUGAGACACGGCCCAAACUCUUACGGGAGGCAGCAGUAGGGAAUCUUCGGCAAUGGGGGCAACCCUGACCGAGCAACGCCGCGUGAGUGAGAAAGGUUUCGGAUCGUAAAGCUCUGUUGUAAGUCAAGAACAGAGUGUGAGAGUGGAAAGUUCUCACUGUGACGGUAGCUCACCAGAAAGGGAUGGCUAACUACGUGCCAGCAGCCGCGGUAAUACGUAGGUCCCGAGCGUUGUCCGGAUUUAUUGGGCGUAAAGCGAGCGCAGGCGGUUUGAUAAGUCUGAAGUUAAACGCUGUGGCUCAACCAUAGUUCGCUUCGGAAACUGUCAAACUUGAGUGCAGAAGGGGAGAGUGGAAUUCCAUGUGUAGCGGUGAAAUGCGUAGAUAUAUGGAGGAACACCGGUGGCGAAAGCGGCUCUCUGGUCUGUAACUGACGCUGAGGCUCGAAAGCGUGGGGAGCGAACAGGAUUAGAUACCCUGGUAGUCCACGCCGUAAACGAUGAGUGCUAGGUGUUGGAUCCUUUCCGGGAUUCAGUGCCGCAGCUAACGCAUUAAGCACUCCGCCUGGGGAGUACGACCGCAAGGUUGAAACUCAAAGGAAUUGACGGGGGCCCGCACAAGCGGUGGAGCAUGUGGUUUAAUUCGAAGCAACGCGAAGAACCUUACCAGGUCUUGACAUCCCGAUGCUAUUUUUAGAGAUAGGAAGUUCCUUCGGUACAUCGGUGACAGGUGGUGCAUGGUUGUCGUCAGCUCGUGUCGUGAGAUGUUGGGUUAAGUCCCGCAACGAGCGCAACCCCUAUUGUUAGUUGCCAUCAUUCAGUUGGGCACUCUAGCAAGACUGCCGGUAAUAAACCGGAGGAAGGUG
rnacentral:rRNA from 1 species